UGCUGAAGUGACAAAUGCCCUGCUUCCAGGAAAAGCCUCUAAGCAUCAGGUAACAUCAAAUCGUACCCCAAACCGACACAGGUGGUCAGGUAGAGAAUACCAAGGCGCUUGAGAGAACUCGGGUGAAGGAACUAGGCAAAAUGGUGCCGUAACUUCGGGAGAAGGCACGCUGAUAUGUAGGUGAAGCGACUUGCUCGUGGAGCUGAAAUCAGUCGAAGAUACCAGCUGGCUGCAACUGUUUAUUAAAAACACAGCACUGUGCAAACACGAAAGUGGACGUAUACGGUGUGACGCCUGCCCGGUGCCGGAAGGUUAAUUGAUGGGGUUAGCGGUAACGCGAAGCUCUUGAUCGAAGCCCCGGUAAACGGCGGCCGUAACUAUAACGGUCCUAAGGUAGCGAAAUUCCUUGUCGGGUAAGUUCCGACCUGCACGAAUGGCGUAAUGAUGGCCAGGCUGUCUCCACCCGAGACUCAGUGAAAUUGAACUCGCUGUGAAGAUGCAGUGUACCCGCGGCAAGACGGAAAGACCCCGUGAACCUUUACUAUAGCUUGACACUGAACAUUGAGCCUUGAUGUGUAGGAUAGGUGGGAGGCUUUGAAGUGUGGACGCCAGUCUGCAUGGAGCCGACCUUGAAAUACCACCCUUUAAUGUUUGAUGUUCUAACGUUGGCCCGUAAUCCGGGUUGCGGACAGUGUCUGGUGGGUAGUUUGACUGGGGCGGUCUCCUCCUAAAGAGUAACGGAGGAGCACGAAGGUUGGCUAAUCCUGGUCGGACAUCAGGAGGUUAGUGCAAUGGCAUAAGCCAGCUUGACUGCGAGCGUGACGGCGCGAGCAGGUGCGAAAGCAGGUCAUAGUGAUCCGGUGGUUCUGAAUGGAAGGGCCAUCGCUCAACGGAUAAAAGGUACUCCGGGGAUAACAGGCUGAUACCGCCCAAGAGUUCAUAUCGACGGCGGUGUUUGGCACCUCGAUGUCGGCUCAUCACAUCCUGGGGCUGAAGUAGGUCCCAAGGGUAUGGCUGUUCGCCAUUUAAAGUGGUACGCGAGCUGGGUUUAGAACGUCGUGAGACAGUUCGGUCCCUAUCUGCCGUGGGCGCUGGAGAACUGAGGGGGGCUGCUCCUAGUACGAGAGGACCGGAGUGGACGCAUCACUGGUGUUCGGGUUGUCAUGCCAAUGGCACUGCCCGGUAGCUAAAUGCGGAAGAGAUAAGUGCUGAAAGCAUCUAAGCACGAAACUUGCCCCGAGAUGAGUUCUCCCUGAGACUUAGAGUCUCCUGAAGGAACGUUGAAGACGACGACGUUGAUAGGCCGGGUGUGUAAGCGCAGCGAUGCGUUGAGCUAACCGGUACUAAUGAACCGUGAGGCUUAACCUUACAACGCCGAAG
rnacentral:rRNA from 1 species